rnacentral:lncRNA from 1 species
GUGAAUGUAUGUGUGGUCACACAAACAGGGGGAGUGUCUGCCCCCUGUCAGCAACAGGCCUUGUGCUGAAGGGGACACCAUGCCGGCCCAUGGCCCUGAAGCCCUUUUCACUACCAGUGAGACAUGAACUCCAGGAAGUGAUGGUUUGCAUCUGUGUGCUGGGCUACCUGAAUGAGAAACACCAUAACAGUUCUGCUGGGUGCCAGAGGGAGAGAGCCUCGGAAGUUGGCCCCAUUAAUCCCCACCCUCCCUCCUUCUCCUUGGUCUGAUGAAGGUCUCACACACAGGCCCACUUUGCCUGCCAUCGACUGCCCUUGCUGUGUGUACCUGUGGGCACACACACCGGCCAGAGAAGAGCCAUGGAAGCUUCCUCGCCCCUUGCUUGCUCUCAGCCUUCUGUGGAUCAGAAAAUCAAAAGCUGUGGAUUCCUUCCAGACUAAUAUGGUUUGAUCAAGCAAGACCCCCUGAAGCUGAGACGAUACAGCCUUACAGACUACAAAAACAAGACUUGGUCAGGUUUCUAUGUUUUAUCAUGAUCCCAAUGGUAUGAACAUCGCCCCAAAUCAGCAGGAAGCAGUUUAGAAAGAACGACGCCCAAAUUCCCAAAUAUUGUUUAUAAAUGUUUGUUUUCAUUUAAAUGGGGUUAGUUAUAAAUGAUAAUGAGCAUAGUCAAUCUCUUUUUAAAGAAAAAAGGGGAAUAGGAUAUAGGAAUGAAUACUUUGCAUUGGUAUAGAUUUUCAUUUAUUGAUACAACUUUAAGGUCAAUUUUAUGAUAUGUAUAUGUCUCCUCUUGUUUAGGUAUUGUGUUUAAACAGAUCUUUUACCUAUAAUAGUCAGAACUUAUAGUUAGGUUAGUUAGGUUUUCUAGAUACAGAGAUGUAUUUGAGAUGGAUAGGUAUUCUUCAAACCUUUCAAAGACCUACAGAAAUAUGGCAUUUAAAUGGUUUAGGGUUUUUCUUGGCAGUGAGACACAACUGCUCCUGGCACACCAAUUACGUCAGAAAGGAGGAUGGGCAUCAAAGAAACUCGUUAUGGAGUUUCCUUUCAACAUGGCAAGAUUAGCCAUUUGAGCAAGAAACUGCUCUUGCCUGGACUGUUUGUUGCUGUAUAAACUGGACAUACAGGACCCACAAGAAAGUGACUGCUGAACUUAGAAAACAAUACAGUACUGAAGGGUUCCUGUUGACAUGCAGAAUCCACAAGAAAGUGAAAUGGAGAAGUGUGCCAGACACACUGUGGCCUAUGGGCUGAAGAUGGGUGCCCCAACGUUACAGAGGAACUGUAGGUAACUGUCCAGGUAGCAGAUGUCUCUGUCAAUUCUAGAGUUUAUAUAUUUUCCUUCUGUGGUCUUUGAUAGAGUUGAAGACAGAUAGUUAUGGUUUUAGUUUUCUUCAGUUAUUAUAAAAGAUAAGUUACCCUUCUUUUUAUUUUAGACAGAAAGAGGAGAUGAUGAGGGAAGUACUUCUGUGUAUGUUUAUCUUAUUGAUUGUUUAAUAAAGUUCUGCUUGGCCAAUGAAACGGCAAGUUAGGCAGGACUAGGAGUCAAAGAGGAUUAAACAGGAAGUAUGCCUCUUUUCCCCUCUGCUCCUCCUCCAGCAGCACAAUGUGAUCCACCAGCAAGGAGGGACGCCAAUAAGGCGUCCGAUAAGAUAAGUCUUAUAAAAUAUAUAGAUUUAUGAUAAUUGAGACUGAGCUAACAGAUGAGGAAUCCUAGUCAUUGACCAAGCAGCUUUGAACCUAAUACAAGUUUCUGUGUAUUCAUUUGGGCCCUACCUCA